CGGUGUUUAACUGGCGUGAUGUGGGACGUCCUACCGGUGGGCUUAGCCUCGCGAGGGGCGGCCCAACUAAUAUCCCGUCGCGGUGCUCUUUACCGAGUGUCGAGUCGGGCCGGUACGUUUACUUUGAACAAAUUAGAGUGCUUAAAGCAGGCUAUCCUCGCCUGAAUACUGCGUGCAUGGAAUAAUGGAAUAGGACCUCGGUUCUAUUUUGUUGGUUUUCGGAACCCCGAGGUAAUGAUUAAUAGGGACAGAUGGGGGCAUUCGUAUUGCGACGUUAGAGGUGAAAUUCUUGGAUCGUCGCAAGACGGACAGAAGCGAAAGCAUUUGCCAAAAAUGUUUUCAUUAAUCAAGAACGAAAGUUAGAGGUUCGAAGGCGAUCAGAUACCGCCCUAGUUCUAACCAUAAACGAUGCCAGCUAGCGAUCCGCCGAAGUUCCUCCGAUGACUCGGCGGGCAGCUUCCGGGAAACCAAAGCUUUUGGGUUCCGGGGGAAGUAUGGUUGCAAAGCUGAAACUUAAAGGAAUUGACGGAAGGGCACCACCAGGAGUGGAGCCUGCGGCUUAAUUUGACUCAACACGGGAAACCUCACCAGGCCCAGACACCGGAAGGAUUGACAGAUUGAUAGCUCUUUCUUGAUUCGGUGGGUGGUGGUGCAUGGCCGUUUUUAGUUGGUGGAGAGAUUUGUCUGGUUAAUUCUGAUAACGAACGAGACUCUAGCCUGCUAAAUAGGCGUACCUUAUGGUAUCGCGAAGGCCCCCGGCUUCGGCCGGUGGGUUUUUACUACCAACGUACAAACAAAUCUUCUAGAGGGACAGGCGG
rnacentral:rRNA from 1 species